rnacentral:rRNA from 1 species
GACGAACGCUGGCGGCGUGCUUAACACAUGCAAGUCGAACGGUAAGGCCCUUCGGGGUACACGAGUGGCGAACGGGUGAGUAACACGUGGGUGAUCUGCCCUGCACUUCGGGAUAAGCCUGGGAAACUGGGUCUAAUACCGGAUAGGACCACUGCCUGCAUGGGUGGUGGUGGAAAGCUUUUGCGGUGUGGGAUGGGCCCGCGGCCUAUCAGCUUGUUGGUGGGGUGAUGGCCUACCAAGGCGACGACGGGUAGCCGGCCUGAGAGGGUGACCGGCCACACUGGGACUGUGAUACGGCCCAGACUCGUACGGGAGACAGCAGUGGGGAAUAUUGCACAAUGGGCGCAAGCCUGAUGCAGCGACGCCGCGUGAGGGAUGACGGCCUUCGGGUUGUAAACCUCUUUCAGCACCGACGAAGCGCAAGUGACGGUAGGUGCAGAAGAAGGACCGGCCAACUACGUGCCAGCCGCCGCAGUAA